UACGUAGGGGGCAAGCGUUGUCCGGAAUUAUUGGGCGUAAAGCGCGCGCAGGCGGCAGUUUAAGUCUGAUGUUUAAGCCCGGGGCUCAACCCCGGUACGCAUUGGAAACUGGACAGCUUGAGUGCAGGAGAGGGGAGUGGAAUUCCACGUGUAGCGGUGAAAUGCGUAGAUAUGUGGAGGAACACCAGUGGCGAAGGCGACUCCCUGGCCUGUAACUGACGCUGAGGCGCGAAAGCGUGGGGAGCAAACA
rnacentral:rRNA from 1 species